rnacentral:lncRNA from 1 species
CAGGAGCCAGGGGCCCAGGAAACAUGAGGGAAUGCCUUCUGUCCCAGGGAUAUUGUGGACCAAACAAACCCUUCAGUAAGGAUUUCUGAUGCCAGUCUGUAGACUGAGAAUCAUUGAGCUAUUUCAGCAGUUCUAUAUUUCUAAUGGUGCAGGGUCAAGGCGAGCUCAGUGGGAUACAUAGUGGAAGCCAUUGCUUGUAACUGAUCCCCUUCAGACAUAGCUUCUGGGC